UGGCCUCAUCUGCAUUAGCAAGAAGGAUUUUUAUUGUAGGGCCUUAUUCAGUUAAACAGUCCACCAGUGAGGACUAUGCGACGUUGAAUUCUGUGUGGCCCCAUUUGCAGCAAGAAUUUAUGUGGCCUCGAGGUAUCAAUGAAACUUUAUAAGAAAAUAUGGAACCUAUGAAAUAUAAGUGUUUUGAAAAUAAAUUAUGCAUUGGCCAUUUGAUUUUG
rnacentral:lncRNA from 1 species